rnacentral:rRNA from 1 species
UGGGGAAUUUUGCGCAAUGGGCGAAAGCCUGACGCAGCGACGCCGCGUGGAGGAUGAAGGUUUUCGGAUUGUAAACUCCUUUUGUAGGGGAAGAUAAUGACGGUACCCUAUGAAUAAGCCACGGCUAACUCUGUGCCAGCAGCCGCGGUAAGACAGAGGUGGCAAGCGUUGUUCGGAAUUACUGGGCUUAAAGGGCGCGUAGGUGGUGGCAUAAGUCCGAGGUGGAAGACUACAGCUUAACUGUAGAAUUGCCUUGGAAACUGUAUCACUUGAGUCAGCGAGGGGAUGGCGGAAUUCCAGGUGUAGCGGUGAAAUGCGUAGAUAUCUGGAGGAAGGCCGGUGGCGAAGGCGGCCAUCUGGCGCUGAACUGACACUGAGGCGCGAAAGCGUGGGGAGCAAA